GAUGAACGCUGGCGGCGUGCCUAAUACAUGCAAGUCGAGCGAACAGACGAGGAGCUUGCUCCUCUGACGUUAGCGGCGGACGGGUGAGUAACACGUGGAUAACCUACCUAUAAGACUGGGAUAACUUCGGGAAACCGGAGCUAAUGCCGGAUAAUAUAUUGAACCGCAUGGUUCAAUAGUGAAAGACGGUUUUGCUGUCACUUAUAGAUGGAUCCGCGCCGCAUUAGCUAGUUGGUAAGGUAACGGCUUACCAAGGCAACGAUGCGUAGCCGACCUGAGAGGGUGAUCGGCCACACUGGAACUGAGACACGGUCCAGACUCCUACGGGAGGCAGCAGUAGGGAAUCUUCCGCAAUGGGCGAAAGCCUGACGGAGCAACGCCGCGUGAGUGACGAAGGUCUUCGGAUCGUAAAACUCUGUUAUUAGGGAAGAACAAAUGUGUAAGUAACUAUGCACGUCUUGACGGUACCUAAUCAGAAAGCCACGGCUAACUACGUG
rnacentral:rRNA from 1 species